UCUUCAAACUCAGUUUGCUUUUGUUGAAUUGACUCUGGUAAUCCUUAUAAGAAGGGCAAUGGUACUACCCUGAUUUGUUUGUUCAACUGAAGCCAACACCGGAAGCUCAGGAAAGGUACAGAUGCCAACAGAGACCAAGUUGAGAAGCAUGCAGGUUUCUGGAAAUUUGUUCCCAAAUGUGUGCCCAGCCUUCCUCCUGCAUGGUGUACUGGCCUCUUAGGUCAAAUCUGGCCUCUUUAAUUCUGCUGCUUUUCUGACAUUUGUGUGGAAGCCUCUUAGCUUGUUCUGACUUGUGUGGAGCUACCUUCCCUGUUACUCCUGAUUCACAGGAAGAAAGGAGCCAUCACAGACAGCCUGGCUCCCGGAGGCUCCGCGCCGCGCUCCCUUUUGCCCGCCCGACUUCUGAGCGGAGCGCUCCGGAGGGAGGAGAACCGGCGAAUCCUCGCGGGCUCCGGGCGCUCGCGGACCGAGCCCGCCCCCACCCGCGCCCGGCCUCGUCACGUUGGCUGCAGAGCGCAUCCCGGCUGCGCCCCGGCGGGGAGGCGCCGAGGGUAGCUGAGGGGAGCGGGUCACGUGAGAGGAGGAGUCUGACCUACUUUCGCCGGCAGCCGGCGCAUGCGUAGUUCCGGGCUGCACGCCGGCCGGAGGCUCACGUGGAG